GACGAACGCUGGCGGCGUGCCUAAUACAUGCAAGUUGAGCGAUGAAGAUUGGUGCUUGCACCAAUUUGAAGAGCAGCGAACGGGUGAGUAACGCGUGGGGAAUCUGCCUUUGAGCGGGGGACAACAUUUGGAAACGAAUGCUAAUACCGCAUAACAACUUUAAACAUAAGUUUUAAGUUUGAAAGAUGCAAUUGCAUCACUCAAAGAUGAUCCCGCGUUGUAUUAGCUAGUUGGUGAGGUAAAGGCUCACCAAGGCGAUGAUACAUAGCCGACCUGAUAGGGUGAUCGGCCGCAUUGGGACGGUGACACGGCCCAAACUCCUACGGGAGGCAGCAGUAGGGAAUCGUCGGCAAUGGACGAAAGUCUGACCGAGCAACGCCGCGUGAGUGAAGAAGGUUUUCGGAUCGUAAAACUCUGUUGGUAGAGAAGAACGUUGGUGAGAGUGGAAAGCUCAUCAAGUGACGGUAACUACUCAGAAAGGGACGGCUAACUACGUG
rnacentral:rRNA from 1 species